UUCAGAAUGAAAAGCAAAAAAGCUUCAGAAUAUUGAAGAAUGAGGAAAAAAGGAGCCCCUACACUCCACAAUGGUUGAUAAAACAAAUGCAGGAAAAAAGGGGGAGCCACUCUUUAAAAUGGUUGCUAAAACAAAUCCAGGU